UACGGGGGGGGCAAGCGUUGUUCGGAAUUACUGGGCGUAAAGGGCUCGUAGGCGGCCAACUAAGUCGGAUGUGAAAUCCCCAGGCUCAACCUGGGAACUGCAUCCGAUACUGGAUGGCUUGAAUCCGGGAGAGGGAUGCAGAAUUCCAGGUGUAGCGGUGAAAUGCGUAGAUAUCUGGAGGAACACCGGUGGCGAAGGCGGCAUCCUGGACCGGUAUUGACGCUGAGGCGCGAAAGCGUGGGGAGCAAACAGG
rnacentral:rRNA from 1 species